GGUCUCUAGCACAUAAUUUUGUAAGACCAUAGAAAAUACUGGAGAUCAAAUGUUUCAUGAAACUCUUAUGCUGAUUCUUUCAGUGCUAUCAUAUGCAGUGAUCUGGAUCUGAAGAUUUCAGUUGAGUAGAAGUGUCAUCUUAACUUCAUCUCCAACCCUUAGCUAUGCCAUGAAUUGUUCAAAAUAACAGGAGACAUGCAGUCAAUCAAAGGAGAACAUCUUUCUCAUGUGAAGCCCAAAGUUUAGACAAAGUAGGACAAUGAAAAGACCAGGGGAAGAAGCGAAGACCAAAAGGAGUCUACAAUUUAAACAGAUGAACUUGGAGAACCUCCCAGCAGGUUAGCAGUGAUUGACAUAAAUGCACAUAAACUAAAAUACUAGAACCUGAGUCACUAAUUUGAAGAAUUCAGACCAGGGGACUUUGAACAAACUUCUGCUCAAAUCAUACUUUUUUAAUAGUAUGGAAAACAUGCAGAACCCUGCAACAGUUGAGAUAUGAAAACUGUAGAAUCUCAGGGCUUACAUCUCUGCUAAAAAUUAGCAGAACUCAGCACUAGCAUAAAGUCCCAUGUCAAGAAGUAGUCUAGAAGAAUAAUCAACAAAAGAACUUGACUGUAGAUAUCUAUUAUGAUGAUAAGGAAGCUCAAAACACAAAUACAGAAAAAGUAAAUGACUCAAAACCAUCCAUGAGACAAAUGCAGAUUGGAUAUAAACUCAAUAAGAAUAUCUAGAAGAAAUAAUGAAUAAAGAUAAAGAUAAAGAAAAAAGUUAAA